rnacentral:rRNA from 1 species
UACGUAGGUGGCAAGCGUUGUCCGGAAUUAUUGGGCGUAAAGCGCGCGCAGGCGGUUUCUUAAGUCUGAUGUGAAAGCCCCCGGCUCAACCGGGGAGGGUCAUUGGAAACUGGGAAACUUGAGUGCAGAAGAGGAAAAGUGGAAUUCCAAGUGUAGCGGUGAAAUGCGUAGAGAUUUGGAGGAACACCAGUGGCGAAGGCGACUUUCUGGUCUGUAACUGACGCUGAGGCGCGAAAGCGUGGGGAGCAAACAGG